rnacentral:rRNA from 1 species
GAUGAACGCUGGCGGCGUGCCUAAUACAUGCAAGUCGAGCGAACAGACGAGGAGCUUGCUCCUCUGACGUUAGCGGCGGACGGGUGAGUAACACGUGGAUAACCUACCUAUAAGACUGGGAUAACUUCGGGAAACCGGAGCUAAUACCGGAUAAUAUAUUGAACCGCAUGGUUCAAUAGUGAAAGACGGUUUUGCUGUCACUUAUAGAUGGAUCCGCGCCGCAUUAGCUAGUUGGUAAGGUAACGGCUUACCAAGGCAACGAUGCGUAGCCGACCUGAGAGGGUGAUCAGCCACACUGGAACUGAGACACGGUCCAGACUCCUACGGGAGGCAGCAGUAGGGAAUCUUCCGCAAUGGGCGAAAGCCUGACGGAGCAACGCCGCGUGAGUGAUGAAGGUCUUCGGGUCGUAAAACUCUGUUAUUAGGGAAGAACAAAUGUGUAAGUAACUAUGCACGUCUUGACGGUACCUAAUCAGAAAGCCACGGCUAACUACGUG